CUUCCAUUGUUACAUACUUAAUGAUGCUUUAUUCUUGUUGCAUAAUUGAAGGAGAUUACAGUUUAAAAGUAAUAUUUAAAAAUGGAUUAUCUAAAUGUAUACUGCCUAUUAUGUUGGCUCAGUACAUUGUGUGUAUAGGUAGUAAAGCAUUUUAGGGAUUAAGUCGUAAUUAAUUUUUUAUCACUUUAAUUUCUUAUGUGACUUCUUAUGCUCCUUUGCCUGCAUAUUCUCUAACAGGAAUUUUCUGAAGAUACCUGAACAUUUUUAUCCAGCUGCUAAGAAAUAUCUCUUGGUACAACUCAUAUAGAACCAACCCAGAUGAGGACAUGGACAGAAAUGUCAGGAGUAUAACAUGGAAGGUGUUCCAGAUGUGGACAUUCUCAUUUCCUGUUCAAGAAAAGACAAUUUGAUAGGAAUGAAGAGGGCAUACUCUGUAACAGGUAUGGCAAACUUUUCCUGUAACAGGUCAGAUAGUAAAGGUUUGCCUUUUGAGCCAUGUGAUCUUUGUUGUUACUACUCAAGUUGGUAGCAAAGGCAAAGACAGUGUGUAAAAGAAUGAGUGGGCUGCAUUCCAGUAACCUUUAUUUAUGGGCACUGAAAUUUGAACUUCAUGUGAUUUUCACUUGGGAUGAAAUUCUUCUUCCUUUAGUGUUUUUCAACUAUUUAAAAAUCUAACAACCAUGCUUCAUUCACAGGCUGUUAAAAAGAUAACAAAACACAAGUGGGCAGACCAGAUUUGGCCUGUAGGCUAUAGUCUGCUGACUCCUAUUCUUCAAGACGAACACAUAAAAUAUGAAAUCACUUGUCGCCCAAAUAGAGUCUUAAUUAAAAUAGAUGAGAAACCAGGGAAGCGGAGGAGAAAGACAUUUAAACAUUUUUCUUGUGAAGAGAUGAUGUCUUAG
rnacentral:lncRNA from 1 species